CGAAGGUGCCUUUCAGGCAUCCUCUCCCAAACUUUUCAGCCCGGCGCACCGCAAGGUUUGUGCCGGGCUUUUUUCUGCCCGGC
rnacentral:sRNA from 1 species